UACGUAGGGUGCAAGCGUUGUCCGGAAUUACUGGGCGUAAAGGGCGCGUAGGCGGACAGUUUAGUCAGAGGUGAAAGCCCAGGGCUCAACCCUGGAAUUGCCUUUGAUACUGACUGUCUUGAGUACGGGAGAGGUGUGUGGAACUCCGAGUGUAGAGGUGAAAUUCGUAGAUAUUCGGAAGAACACCAGUGGCGAAGGCGACACACUGGCCCGUUACUGACGCUGAGGCGCGAAAGCGUGGGGAGCAAACAGG
rnacentral:rRNA from 1 species